rnacentral:tRNA from 1 species
CGAAAUUGGUAGACGCACCAGAUUUAGGUUCUGGCGCCGCGAGGCGUAAGAGUUCAAGUCUCUUCUUCCGCACCA